rnacentral:misc_RNA from 1 species
AACGCACAUUGCGCCCGCCAGUAUUCUGGCGGGCAUGCCUGUUCGAGCGUCAUUUCAACCCUCAAGCCCAGCUUGGUGUUGGGACUUGCGUUAAUUCGCAUUCCCCAAAUUGAUUGGCGGUCACGUCGAGCUUCCAUAGCGUAGUAAUUUACACAUCGUUACUGGUAAUCGUCGCGGCCACGCCGUUAAACCCCAACUUCUGAAUGUUGACCUCGGAUCAGGUAGGAAUACCCGCUGAACUUAAG